rnacentral:lncRNA from 1 species
AUAAUCUCCACUUCACAGAAGAGGAAACUGCAGCUCAGCGAGGGUAUUUACUCAGGAGGCAUGGAAACUAUGUCCCUACCAAGAAUUGUACAUGAAUGUUCAUAGCAGCUUUAUUCCUAAUGGCCCCAAGCUGGCAACAACUCAAAUGUCAAUCAAUGGGUGAUUGAUUGAAUACUCAAACUGUAGUGUCUCCGUGGAAUGGAAGACUACUCCGCAAUGAAAAGCAAUGAUUGGCUGGGCGCGGUGGCUCAGGCCUGUAAUCCCAGCACUUUGGGAGGCUGAGGCAGGUGGAUCAUGAGGUCAAGAGAUCGAGACCAACCUGGCCAACAUGGUGAAACCCUGUCUCUACUAAAAAUACAAAAAUUAGCUGGGCAUGGUGGCGUGCACCUGUAGUCCCAGCUACUCAGGAAGCUGAGGCAGGAGAAUCACUUGAACCCAGGAGGCGAAGGUUAUGGUGAGCCGAGAUUGUGCCACUGCACUCCAUCCUGGGUGACAGAGUGAGACUCUAUCUCAAAAAAAAAAAAAAAAAAAAAAAAAAAGGUAAAGAAAAGAGAAACAAUGAUUUGUUGAUGCACACCACACCACGGAUGAAUUUCAAAGCACUUAUGCUCAGAGAAAGAAACCAGAUAAAAAAUUAGAGUACAUCCUUUGUGUUUCUAUUUGUGCCGAAUUCUGGAAAAUGCAAACCAAUCUAUCAUGAAAGAAAGCAGGCCCAUGGUUGCCUGGGGACAAGCCUGGAGAUGGGGGUGGACUACAGGGGCACAGGGAAAAGAAAUGUGUGACGGGGGAUCAGGGAUGGCCUCACAACCUUGACAGUGUCAAUGGCCCCAUGUGGUUUACAUACAUCAAACUCGUGAAAUUGCACACUUUAAGUAUGCACAGUUUAUUGUACUUUCAUCAUAUCUCAGAAAAAUUGAAUUAAAAAUUCAUGAAGCUGUACACUUAAAUUUCCUGUAGCUUAUACUUUAAUAAAAAAGUAAAUAAAAAUGUAAAAUAUAUCUUUGACCCUGUCAUCCUUGUCCCCCUGAGCCCUCUCUGAGCUCAGCACUUCUGCAUGUGAGCAUCCAAAGCCCCAUUAUACCAGUUUCUCCAGACUUCCUUAACCAAGUUCCACAGGCUGGUGAUAGGGUUUGGCUCUGUGCCCCCGCCCAAAUCUCAUCUCAAAUCAUAAUCCCCACUUGUCAAAGGAGGGACGUGGUGGGAGGCGAUUGGAUCAUGGGGUGCUUUCCCCCAGGCUGUUCUCAUGAUAGUGAGUGAGUUCUCAGGAGAUCUGAUGGGUUAAAGGUGUGCCACGUCCCCACUCCUUGCUCUCCCUCCUGCCACCUUAUGAAGAAGGUGCUUGCUUCCCCUUCACCUUCUGCCAUGACUGUAAGUUUCCUGAGGCCUCUUCAGCCAUGUGGAACUGUGAGUCAAUUAAACCUCUUUUUCAUAAAUUACCCAGUCUCGGGUAGUUCUAUAUAGCAGUGCGAAAACGGACAUUUAUCAUCCCACAGUUCUGCAGGCUAGAAAUCUGACAAGGAGUGAGCAGGGCUGGUUCCCCCCAAAUCCUGUCUUCAUGGCCUGUGGAUGGCAUCUUCUCCCUGAGUCCUCCCAUGGUUGUCUUUCCAUACGCAUCUCUGCAUCCAAAUCUCCCCUUUUUAUCAGGUCAACAGCCAUGUUGGAUUGAGGCCCACCCUGAUAACGUCACUUUGACUUGAUUACGCUAUAAAGACCCUAUCUCCAUAUAAGGUCACACUCUGAGGUACUGGGGGUCAGGACUCCAACAUACACCUUUGGGAGGGGGUAUAAUUCAACUGUAAACACCAUCCCUUCCAGAACACCCUCAUCUCUUCCCUGGCCAUUCUCUCCCACCCCUUCUCAGCUCACUGACUCUCUCAUCACAAAGCAUUUCUGGGCCCCCAGGCCAGGCCUGCCCCUGUCAGAGGACUCAUAGAACCUCCAGCUUGUCACACGAGGUGCAGCGGUCACUUCUGGUCUCACUUUGUCCUCUCCUGCUAGUCCUCGAUGAAGACCAAGAUCCAGCUGCUGCCUCAGGGGUUUGCUGGCAGAGUCCACAGUGAAUGAAUGAAGGAAGGAAUGGGUCAGGGAAUGAGUGAGUUGCUGUGGCCCUGCUGCACCUCCGUCUCCUCCGCAUCUCAGAGGUCACGGGGAUCGGACACAGAAAUCACGCUGCUUCACCGCCUGCCGGCUGCACGUUCUGGCCCAAAGGGGUCUCGGGAAGCCCAAAGCUGCUGUCUGCACCUUCUUGGCUUUACAUUUAGCAGCAAUGCUGAGGGAGGCCACAGCCAGAGGGGCCUGGAUUCCUGAGAUGCUGGUACCUUGGUCCUUUCACAUGGGAAGAACACGGGGCACACCAGGAAGAGUCCCCAGGGAUUGAUGGCAGCACAGGCAGUGGAGUGGGCCAAGGGUGGGAGCUGCUUAACCUGGCAGGGUACUUGGCCUCUUAGAGCCUCAGUUUCCCUACUUGUAACACAGGGAUGAUAGUGGCCCCAAGGCACAGGGCUGCUAGGAAGCCUAGACUGUGUGUGACAGCUGGCAUCAAGCUUGGCACCAGGACCUUCCUCACUCAGGGAUGGAGGCUGGUCAGCAGGAGAUGCUUGGGAGUCCCCAUCCCAUGACCAGGUAACAAAUGGGUCCCUCAGAGCUGACCAGCAGGGAGUUGAUUCCACACAGCAGAAUUGCAUGCCACCUCCAAGUUUGCAAAUCAACCCAACAAUGAUAAGUGGCAAAAUGGAAGAUCGAAGAGUGUGCCGUGGGUAUGGCGAUGGAUGAUUACAAUUCUUUGGCUGUUUAGGAUUCAUUCUACCUUUAGGAAGGAAGUAUUCCCUCUGGUUCAGUGCAAAUGCGCCGUGUCAGAUGGGGCUGGCUGGUAUGUGGUUCCCUCCUUGUGCACUGGCAGCUUAGCCCAGAAUGCGCAACUGCUUCCUCAGAGGUGCUGUCAGCGGACUUUCUGGUCCCCAGGGAGCUGAGGGGCCUCCGGCUCAGGCCACCUCAAGGCUCAGCCCUUCAGACAGAAGCACGCGGCCCUGGCUGUUUUGCAGACGAUGGCAUGAGGCUGGGGGCCUGGGACCCAGCCCCUGUCCUGUGAAAGCAGCAGGUCUUUCACGCCCACUCUGGCUCCUUUCUGACUCUUUCCUGGCUCGCUUUGCCUGGACUUAGCCUCUGACCCCAUCAUAUGAACAGCAAUGCCUGGGAAUAUUGGAGCAGGCUGUCCUCUCUGUUCCCUUCUGUGUCCCUGCCACCAUCCCCAGGAAAGAACCCACUGCCUGGGCGGGGACCCCCAGGCCUGCAGGACUGGCCUUUGCCUGUGUCUGGCCUUGCCCCAUCGUGCACGGCCUGCCCCUUGUUUCUCCAGGGCACAGGACUCUCUUGCUGCCUUUGCACCUGCUGAUCCCCCAAACACCUCCCCUCCCUUCUUGUGAAUUUAUGCCCAUCUUCCAGGUGGGUAUUCCUUUGCUCAGGCUACUGUAACAAAGCACUGCAGGCUGGAUGGCCUCAACAACAGAUGUUUAUCAUCUCACAGUCUCAGAGGCUGGAAGUCCAAGAUCAAGGUAUGGGCAGGGUCAGUUCCCCCAAGGCCUCUCUCUUUGGCUUAUCCCCGUGCCUCUCUCUGUGACCACAUUUCCCCUCAUUACAAGGCCACCCAUCAGAUUGGAUUAGAGCCCACCCAAACGACUUCACUUUGACUUAACUACCUCUGUAAAGACCCUAUCUGCAUAUAAGGUCACAUUCUGAGGUGUUGGGGUUAGAACUACAACAAAUGAAUUUAGGGAGACAUAAUUCAAUCUAUAACAAUGCCUAAGCCCCAGUGUCAUUUCCCCAGAGCCUCCAGAACAGAUCAGAUGCAGGCACCACUCCCUUCCACUCCCCUGUCGUGGCCUCGCAUCCCUCAAGGGCAUACGUUCCCUGUCUGCUCCACCCCCACUUCCGGAGGCAAGUGUCCAUCUGCCUUAUAACCUCCGCCGACCCCAUGCCUGUCACCAGCAGGUGCUCAACACAUAUUUGUCAAAAGACACAUAACCAAGAUUUUGGCCGGGCGUAGUGGCUCACGCCUGUAAUCCCAGCACUUUGGGAGGCUGAGACGGGUGGAUCAUGAGGUUAGGAGAUCGAGACCAUCCUGGCUAACACGGUGAAACCCCGUCUCUAAUAAAAAACAAAAAAUUAGCCGGGCGUGGUGGCGGGUGCCUGUAGUCCCAGCUACUUGGGAGGCUGAGGCAGGAGAAUGCCAUGAACCCGGGAGGCAGAGCUUGCAGUGAGCCAAGAUCGUGCCACUGCACUCCAGCCUGGGCAACAGAGCAAGACUCUGUCUCAAAAAAAAAAAAAAAAAAAGACACAUAACCCUGUUGGAGCCAUGCCCCUUGCGGUCCAGUCUCAGUGCUGUGGUUAAACACACACACACACAGAGUCUAUGCAUCAGCUAGGAAUGCUUUCAAUAACAAACAACAGAUACCCCAACUAACCUUGCCAUAAACAAAUAGGAGUUUAUUUUUUUCUCACACUCUGAGUCUGGAAGCAGGUGCUGCUGCUGUGGGUCCAGGGGCUGGCAUCUCCGUGGUUCUCUUGACUGUCAUUCCCACUGGUGCUUCACGGCUGCAAGGUGGCUGCCACAGCUCUGGGCAUUGCCUCCACCUUCAAGGUAGGAAGGAAGAGGAAGGACAGUUUCAGGUAUGUGUAUCUUCUUUUUUAAUCAGGAAAGAAAAAACAAAAACAAAACAAAACAAACAAACAAAAAACCUUUCCCAGAAGUUCCCAAAAGACUUGUGGGAAACGGACAGAAUGGGUUACAUGGCCACCCCCAGUGGUUGAAGAAGCUGCAAACAGCAGCGCUUGGCUCUUCUGUCCUCUGUAAUGGGAGGUACUGGGCCUAAAAGAGUUGGGAAUGUGAUCGAGUUCACCAGCCAGCGGUGUGUCCCCUCCAGAACCUCAAAACUAAUUUCAGAAUGUCUCCAGCUAUUACCUUGCACCUCUCAAACCCCAUAAUGGGCACACAGGGCCUAUACCAAUGUACUCCAGCAACAGGCAUGGCCCUCACUAGCCUGCUUCCUGCUCUCCUUCUCCAACGUGCUUCUCCAUCCCAAAUCUGCAUCCCAAAAGGCCCAAAACACCAAGGGGCAAGGACAGAAACUUCCUCCAGGAGGUGGGAGGAAGAAGAAGAGACCGAGGGUAAAGCCAGACCCCUGCAGGGGGAGGCAGAGGGAAGUCUGGGAGCCCUCUGCCAUCUCAGUCCUAAGACAAAUGAAUGGGCAAAUGCAUAAAUGAAACUUUACUGCAUUUGUGCCUCAAAAAAAAUCUGUGCACUCAAUGAAAAGACCAGCUGGGGUGUGCUAGAAACAGAGCACCUGCUGCCGGGGUCUCAUCCUGGCUCGUGGCGUGGCUUCAGGUGGCUCCUUCUCUGGGCCUCCAUUUCCUUAUCCGAGGAUGGGGUAAAGGUUGGGUCAUGGUUUCCUCAUGGAGCAUUGUCUCUGUGCCCACAGCAUGUUAAACAGGAAAGAGUUAUGUAUGCACAGGUGUGUCCUACAUAUGGAGGGGAGGCUGUCAUUGGAAUCCCCUCACAGCCAAUGCUGGGAAGAGCCCAAAGAUGGCUGCCCUGAACUGAGAGCUUUCAGGGUGACUUUCUGACCUGCAGGGGAAGCCCUUCUAGGAUGCUGGGCCAUCUGUGCUUCCAGAAGUUUCCUUUGAAGCCAUGAGAGAUGUAGGCUCUGGGCAGGAGGCAGAGGCUCUAGGGAGCUUAGCUAUGCAGCAGGACCCAUCUUUCCACAGAGGGGACACUGUCGUCAUCUCCUCCCAUGUACCAGGCACUGUGUUCAACAUGCCCCCAGUUUGGAGGAGCCCAUCUGAUAUGGUUUGGCUCUGUGUCCCCACCCAGAUCUCACCUUGAAUUGUCAUAAUCCCCACAUGUCGUGGGAGGGACCCAGUGGGAGGUCACUGAUUCAUGGGUUUUUUUCCCAUGCUGUUCUCGUGAUAAUGAGUAAGUCACAUGAGAUCUGAUGGUUUUUUAAAGGGGAGUUCCCCUGCAGACACUCUCUUGUCAGCCGCCAUGUAAAAUGUGCCUUUGCUCUUCCUUCGCCUUCUGCCAUGAUUAUGAGACCUCCCCAGCCAUGUGGAACUGUGAGUCCAGUAAACCUCUUUCCUUUAUAAAUUACCCAGUCUCAGGUCUGCCUUUACUAGCAGCAUGAGAGCAGACUAAUACGCCAUCCUCUUCCCUAAUGCCCUGUGGAGUCACACACUGGCCCAUGGCCCUACACUUCAUCCUUGCACCCCAUGGAGAAUGGCUUAUUUUAUAGGGGUGUCCACCUUUGGCUUGUAUUUCUAGGUAGAGUUCAGUAAAUUGAUUAAAACACUCUGGGUCUCUUCCACUUUCAGCCGUGUUGGGGUAACUAGUGCUGGACGGGCCAUCCCACUGCAAACACACAUGAUUGAACUGGACAGCAUGUUUGAGACAACUCUGGGCGGGCAGUGAACAGCAAGCAGUGCAUGACUUGAUGCUGAGAGGCAGGGCGCUCAGGAGCCAGCCAUGCCACCCCUGGAGACCAUCUCCCCCCAUGGCUCAGCAGGCAGGAGGCCUCACAGAGCAGAGUGGUCCCACUGAGCUCAAGAGGCAGAGACCAGAGUUCACAGUCCAGAAGCUUCUGGGAGCUAUGAGGCAGGGCAUCAGAGAGGCUCUGCUGUGGGGGAGGCAGGCGCAGAGGUACCAUCAGGGGUCCCCCAGCCAGGAGUCCUCGGCUGAGUCCUGGGGAGGAUGAGGCUACAGGAGGGGUGCCCAGCGUGGCUGCUGCAGAGUUAGGGAGGGAAGGAGAUGCUGUGGUUCCAGUAAAGCGUGGGGUCAAGGGGGCUGCAGCCACCCAGUGUGCAGAGGUCUCCAGCACCUGGGCAUCCAGCUGGGAUGAAAGACACUCAGGAGCAAGACCCGCUUCAGACUCACCCCAUCACAACCUAUGUCAAGCCCUGAUGAGAUCUGUGGGGGAAGAGGGUGGGUGGUGGAGUCCAACCACGUCAGAGAGGCUUGGGGAGCACCCUGGGCUCCCACAAACCCACGCGGCAAAGUAUAAAGCCAAGUACGUGCAAGUUCAGGGUGAGCAGAAAAAUCCCAACGCUCCUCAGAGGGGGAAAAGGAAUAGAGGUUCCACCACACAUCACCCACAAGGUGGGUGCACAACAAAAACAUUCCUAGGUAUUAAAAGAAAAAACACAGAUGGGAAAAUGUGACCCACAGUAGAGAAGAAAGCAGUCAAGAAAAACACCCCAAGAUAAUUCAUGGGCCAAUAAGGAAAUCACAAGGACACAGAGAGUAUUCACCACAAAAUUUAAAAAAUUGAUCCAUUGACUUCAUCAAAAUUAAAACCCUCUGCACUUCAAAAAACACGGCAAAAUCACAGACUGUGAGAGAAUAUUUACAACGCACAGCUCCAACAAAAGUUUGCAUUCAGAAUAUUUAAAGGACUCUCGGCUGGGCGUGGUGGCUCACACCUGUAAUCCCAGCACUUUGGGAGGUCGAGGAGGGUGGAUCACCUGAGAUCAGGAGUUUGAGACCAGCCUGGCCAACAUGGCAAAACCCUGUCUCUACUAAAAAUACAAAACAAAUUAGCCCAGCAGGGUGGCGGGUGCCUGUAGUCCCAGCUACUCAUCAGGAGGCUGAGGCAGGAGAAUCACUUGAACCCGGGAGGUAGAGGUUGCAGUGAGCCGAGAUCGCGCCAUUGCACUCCAGCCUGGGCAACAGAGUAAGACUCUGUCUCAAAAAAAAAAAAAAAAAAAAAAAAAAAAAAGGCUGGGCGCGGUGGCUCACACCUGUAAUCCCAGCACUUUGGGAGGCCAAGGCGGGCAGAUCACAGGGUCAGAAGUUCGAGACCAGCCUGGUCAAUAUGGUAAAAAACCCUGUCUCUAAUAAAAAUACAAAAAUUAGCUGGGCAUGGUGGUGGGCGCCUGUAGUCCCAGCUACUCAGGAGGCUGAGGCAGGAGAAUCGCUUGAACCCAGGAGGCAGAGGUUGCAGUGAGCUGAGAUCGUGCCACUGAGCACACUACGCACAGCCUCACGCAGUCACUGGGGUCGUGCUGAGCCAGGAGGACAAAGGAGAGCCCAGGCUGCAUAGAACUCUGUUUGUACAGCAUUCUGUGACACAUAAAUUCACACAGUAGCUACAGGAAGAAGCUCUGGUGUUACCUGCAGUGGGGAGUGGCUGACUGAUUGCAAAAGAGGCGUGCAGAAACUUUCUGAAAGUGUUUUAUCUCUUGGUAAAAGUGACAGUCUCAAAAAAAAAAAAGGAUGUCUAAAGGACUCUCAUAACACAAUCACAGAUAACUCAGUAAAUAUAUGGACAAUGGGUGUGAAUGUAUGCUUCACAGAAGGAAAUACCUAACUGGCUAAUAAACUCAUGAAAAGGUGCUCAUCAGCAUUGGUAAUCAUGGAAAUACAGAUUAAACCCAGUGAGAUGCCACUCCAUGCCCACUAAAGCACAUCAGAUGAGAUGGGCCACCCCCGGCACUGGCAAGGAUGGAGAACAUCUGAGUUGUCAUGCACUGACGGUGGCCAUGGAAAGGUGUACAGCCAUUCUGCAGUAAUUUGGCAGUUUCUUACAAAGUUAAAUAUACUUUUACCAUACAACCCACUCCUAGGUGCUUUCCCAAGAGAAAUAGCAUCUGCCCACGAAAAGAGUCAUACACAAAUAUUUAUAGCAGCAGGAAGUGGAAAUAAGCCCACUGCUUACCACUGCUCAUCACUGUGUGAGUGGAUAAACACCAUGAAAAGGGGCAGGCUGCAGAUACGUACAGCCUCAUGCAGUCACUGGGGCCAUGCUGAGCCAGGUGGACAAAGAGCCCGGGCUGCAUAGAACUCUGUUUGUACAGCAUUCUGUGACACGUAAAUUCACACAGUAGCUACAGGAAGCAGCUCUGUUGUUACCUGAAGUGGGGAGUGGCUGACUGAUUGCAAAGAGGCGUGCAGAAACUUUCUGAAAGUGUUUUAUCUCUUGGUAAAAGUGGCAGUGACCCAACUGUGUACAUUUGUCAACUCACUGAAUUGCAGGCUUAAAUUAGUGAAUUUUAUUGUAUACAAAUUAUACCUCCGCAAAGUAGAUUUUAAAAAAUCAGUGUGUUGGAAGGCCGAGGCAGGUGGAUCACCUGAGGUUAGGAGUUCAAGACCAGCCUGACCAACAUAGAGAAUCCCCGUCUUUACUAAAAAUACAAAAAAUUAGCUGGGUGUGGUGGCAGGUGCCUAUAAUCCCAGCUACUCAGGAGGCUGAGGCAGGAGAAUCACUUGAACCUGGGAGGCAGAGGUUGCAGUGAGCCAAGAUCACACCAUUGCACUCUAGCCUGGGCAACAAAGCAAGACUCCAUCUCAAAAUAAAAAUAAAAUAAUAAAUAAAUAAAUAAAAAUAAAAAUAAGUCAUUGUGGCCGGGCACAGUGGCUCACACAUGUAAUCGCAGCACUUUGGGAGGCCAAGGCAGGAGGAUUGUUUGAGCCCAGAGGUUGAGACCAGCCUGGGCAGCAUUGUCAAACUCCAUCUCUACAAAAAAUACAAAAAUUAGCUGGGUGUGGUGGCACAUGCCUGUGGUCCCAGCUACUUGGAAGGCUGAGGUGGGAGGAUCGCUUGAGCCUGGGAGGUCAAGGCUGCAGUGAGCUGAGAUCGCACGCCUGGACUCCAGCCUGGGUGACAGAGUGAGACCCUGUCUCACAAAGAAAGAUCAUUGAGCUUCACUCUUAAAAGAUGUACAAUGUAUUGAACGUAAAUUGUUCCUCUGUAAAAACUGAUAUUUUUUUUAAAGUCCUAGGCAUGGGGCUUGAUAUCUUGCCUUCCCUCUCUGCCCCAGGCUAGAUAACGUAACAUAUAGCUAAGUUCGUGUGCCCAAAUCUAGACAUCCCUCAGUGGGCUUGGCCAGGGCUGGAUUCCAGGUACGAGUAGACAGGGCCAUCAUUAGCCCAGCAUGACUCAGCAUUCGGAAGCUACAUUGCCUGGCAGUUUUGCUGUGGUAUAAACCACCGCACCUCUCAGAGGUGUAUAGCAGUGAAGGUUUAUGUCCCCUGCACUUUGCAUGGGAGCCACGAGUCUGCCCACAGCUUGCGUGCCAGGGCUCAUGCUGAAGGCACAGCUCCUGGUGGCACAUGCUCUUCUCACGUCAACCUCAAUGGCACUUAGCGCUUGCACUCAGACCAAGGGUCAAUGUUGUCCUCUCAUCUUCCAUUGACCAAAGCAAGCAGGUGGUACUCCCCAGCAGCACAGGGACAGGAAUGGAGGCGCUUUCUGCAGGCGGCACUGCCAAGCCACAUGGCGUUGGUGGGGACAUCCCAUUCUCUUAAGGGAGGAGACAGUCAUUGUUGGGAAAAGAAACACAAUCUGCCACAUCUUCCAAUCAGCUUUGGCAAGUCAUGACACUGACACACUUUGCUCUUUUCUCUGCGUAGCUCCCGUGUCACUCCCUCCAUGGGGUGGGACAGAGCAAGGUAGAAGAGUGAGGAGCUGUCCCCGUCCCCUGCUUGUGAACCCCAAGGCUGCAUUCUAUCGCACAGGUUCUCCGACUGCAUUCCUAGCCCUGGGUCCUUGCAGGCAGGAAGGGGGUGGCCCUGUGUGGGGAAGGUGGGGAGUCCACCGGUCCCAGCAGCCGUGUUUCCAUCACCUCUGUGUGUUAGGAGAUUCCUCACCAGAUUCUGAUGAAAAGGAAGUCUCUGCCACUGAAAGACACAUUUACAAACAGCUGUAUGGUCUCAUUCAGUUUCCGCAGCCCUGAGGAGCAGGAACUAUCAUGUCCAUCUCCUGGAUGAAGAGCUCCAGAGAGAUCAAAUGACUCAUCCAGGGGUGCCCCACUGGCAUUGAAUGGGGGGUCAAAAUGUCAACCCAGGUGUGUCCACCGAGGCUCUUUGCCCCACAUCAAGGCAUCCCUGGGCACAGGCCACGCUGUGGGGCACUGACUGCCAGCCUCCCAAAGGUGUCCACACACUGAUGCCCGGAACUGUGCACAUGCAAUCAGGGUCGUGCAUAUGCAAACAGAUUCAUGCAUAUGCAAACAGGGUCAUGCAUACGCAAACAGAGCUGUGCAUAUGCACACAGGGCUGUGCGGAUGUGAGUAAGGAAAUGAUCCCGAGCUGGAUUAUCCAAGUGGGCUCUAAAUUGAAUCUCAGGGUCCUUAGAGAGGAGGCAGGGAGGACAGACAGAAGCAAAGUGCUGUUACAACAGAAGCCGAUGGGUGAAAUGAUUGUGGUGUGUGGUGAAGCUAUGCUGUUGUUUUGAACAUGAAGGAAGGGGCCACAAUCCAAUGAACACAAGUGGCCUCUAGAAGCUGGAAAGGGCCCCCAGUGGAUUUCCCUCCUGAGCCUCCAGAAAAACCAGCCCUGCUGACUCCUUGAUUUUAGCCCAGGGAGACUGAUUUCAGACAUUUGACCUCCAGAAUGUAUGGGAAUAAAUUUGCAUUGUUAGAAGCUACUUCAUUUGUGCUAAUUUGUGACCGUAGCCACAGGAAGCUAAUACACACACCAAGCAGUGACAACCUCUCUCUAGGGCAUAGAACUUUUCACUGUACCAAGCAUAUCCUCUAUGGCAUUAGACUCUCACAACCCAAGCUGAAGACACUGAGCUUGGAGAGGGGAAGGGACCUGCCUAAAGUCACACAGCCACUGAAGGUGGCACCAGGACUGGGCCCAGGUCUUAGGUUCAAUGGCUGCAGUACAAAGACCUUGAGCAUUAGACCAGGGUUGGCGAGGAAUGUAGCAGGGGCUGGUGAGCACCAGUUGCCUUUUCUCCUGUCCAGCCUCUCUUCCCAAUAUGCCUGGAGCUGUCUCUCAACCUCUCCAGCUUGGGGGUGUAGUUUUCCUUAGAUUCACUAAUCUACCCCAUAUGCAUCCAACAAAUGCCCCCUUUGCCUAGGUCAGCUGGAGUUGGUUUCUGUUCCCUGGACACAAAGAACCACAAUUGAAUCCCAUGGUCACCCCAGGGUAUGGGGGAACUUGGGGCCUCUCCCACUGUAGCCAAUCACCUUUCCCACCCCAUCUCAGCUUCCUGAAUCAUAGGGUGAAUAGUUAAGCAACCACCAAUUGGGCUUCCCACCUACACUAAUCCCAGAGGCCUGGUGGGUUUAUCCAGCCCGUAUCAGGUGUCCUGGGAAGGCUUGCUCUGUGGCCUCAUAGCUGUCCCAUGACAAAUUUAUUAAAUGCUCUGGCAGGACAGACUCUCAUGGGGAUAGACAUCUGGCUGCAGAUUGGACUGGCAAAUGGACAAAUGGACAAAGGGACCAGAAAGACUUCACGAUGUGAGACUUUAAGCUUUGGCCCAGGGCAAGAGAGGGGGCCAAACAGAAAGGAGGUGUGGGGCAGAGAAUCAGAGAAGCUGGUGUUUCCUCAGUGCCCACACAGACCUGCCAAAGUUCUAGUGCUUUAGUGCAUUGUAGCUGUCUUUAUAGCCAGCCUGACAGGAUCCCCAUUAUACAAAUGGACAGACAAAGGCUCAGGUGAUGCUUUCUCACCCAAGUCACACACAGCCAAUUAGUGGUGGGCUCAGAAUUUUAAGUCAUGUCUUUCCAAUCUCAAAGCUCAUGCUUUUUUCAUAGCAUCACACCUUGAGAAGCCACGAGGUUGCUGCCAGGGCUGAAUCUGGCUCGUGGCAUUCAGGCCAAUUCAGUAAGUGCAUAUGGAGCACCAGCUGUGGACAAGGGGCUGUGAAAGACUCAAGGGAGAGUCCUGUGGUUUUGAGCUCUGCCCUCAAGUAGGUGACCAUCUGAUGGGGCAGACAGAAAAGACAUGCCCUGCUUCUGCAAGAAGAGUGUGGCCCAGGCAAAGGAUGCCUGUACAUGGGGAAAUAUUUCAAGUCAUUGGCAGAGGCUGGGGAAGGCUGCCUGGAGGAGGGGACAUUUGAGCUGCAAAGGAUUUUUACAAGUGGGAAAGCCAAACUUUUCUCAACAACUAAAUGGGAACUAUAAUAGCUGCCUCUCACUGCUGUGCACACACAUAUACAGACACAAACACAACUGGACACCUAAAUGGUAUGAAAACAAUAGUACAAAGGUGAGACAUGGAAUGAAAGUAUACUGCAAUAAAUUUCUUUUACUAGAUGUUAGGUAGUAUAAUAUCACUGAAGGAUAAUAUUAUUCAAAGAUAGACUGUGAUAAGUUAAAGAUGUAUACUAUAAACGCUUUAGCAACCACUAAUAUAAUACAGCAAAGAAUUACAGCUAAUAAACCAACAAAUAAGAUAAAAUGAAGGAAUGAAUAAUACUCAAUCACAAAGAAGGUAGAAAGGAGGGAAAAUGAAACACAGAACAAGUAAUACAAAUACAAAACAAAAAUCAUGAUGGCAGAAUUAAAUACUAUUAUAUCAACAAUCACAUUAAAUGUAAAGGUCUAAACACCUCAAUUAAGAAACAAAGAUUGAUAGGUUGGAUAAAACAAGCAAGACCCAAUUACAUGCUGCCUACAAGAAGCCCACUUUAAAUAUAAAAAAAAUAAUAAUUUUAAAGCAAAAGGAUAAAAAAAGAUGUACCACACUAAUUACCAUGCUAAUGUACUUUGCUAUGUUCAUAUUUGCUACUUUGCUACACUAAUAGCAAAGUAGAUUUUAGAGGAAAGAAUAUUGCCAGGAAUAGUCAUUUCAUAAUGACAAAAGGUUUCAAUUCUCAAGUGAACAUAACAAUUCUAGAUGUUUAUAUGCCAAAUAAGACCUUCAAAAUACAUGAGGCAAAAUGAAUAGAACUACAAAAGAAAUAGACAAAUCCAGUUAUAGUAAUAGGUUUCAACAGCUCUAUGAUUGACAGGGCAAAUGUACAGAAGUCAACAAGAAUAUAGGGCUGGGCAUGGUGGCUCACACCUGUAAUGCUAGCACUUUGGGAGGCCGAAGCAGGCAGAUCACCUGAGGUCAGGAGUUCUAGACUAGCCUGGCCAACAUGGCGAAACGUCAUUUCCACUAAAAAUACAAAAAUUAGCCAGGUAUGGUGGUGCAUGCCUGUAGUCCCAGCUCUUCCGGAGGCUGAGGCAGGAGAAUUGCUUGAACCCAGAAGGUAGAGGUUACAGUGAGCCAGGAUCACACCACUGCACACCAGUCUGGCUGACAAAGUGAGACUCUGUCUCCAAAAAAAAAGAAGAAGAAGAAUGUAGAAGACUUGAAUAACACUAGCAAUCUAGCAAUCAAUGUGACUCAACUGGCAUGUUUAGAACACUUCACUCACGACAGCAAAAUAUAAAUUAUCUUCAAACACACAGAACAUUUUUCAAAAAUAUAUCAUAAUCUCAUCUCAAUAAAUUUAAAAGGGCGUGAAAAAUCUCAAUAAAUUUAAAAGGAUACAAAUCAUUCAAUGCAUGUUUUCUGGCCAAAAUAGAAUAAAAUUAGACACCAAAUAAUAGAAUGAUAUCUGUAAAAUCCCCAAAUAUUUGGAAACUAAAUAACACUUCUCUGUAAAGCACAGUUUAAAGAAAUCAAAAAGAUAAUUAGAAAAUGGAAAUUGGAAAACAUUUUGAAAUAUUUGAAAAUGAAAACACAACCUACAAAGUCUGUGGGAUGUGAUUAAACCAGUACUCUAAGUAAUUUAUAGCACUAAAAUAUCCCAGCUUUUACCUGAAGAAACUAGAGAAAAAAGGACAAAUCUAACCAAAGAGAAACAGAAAAAAAGGAAAUAAUAAAGAUUAGAGCGGAAAUCAAUAAAAUAAAAAAAAUAGAAUCAAUGAAACCCAAAACUGGUAAUUUGAAAAGAUCAAUCCGACUUACAAACAUCAAACCCUACUCAUCAGAAAGAAAAGAAAGAAGACAAAUUACCAAUAUGAGAAAUGAAAGAGGUAGCAUUACUACCGAUUGCACACAUAUUAAAAGGAAUAUGAUGAAUAAUUGUAUGCGAAGAAAUUUGACAAUUCAGAUGUAAUGGACAAAUUCCUUGAAAGACAAAAACUAAUAAAGCUCACUCAAGAAGAAAUAGAUAACCUGAAUAGUCCAUAUUUUUUAAGAAGUUAAAAACUUUACUACAAAGAAAACUCUAGGCCUCACUGGUGCAUUUUACAAAACACUUAAGAAAGAAAUAAUUUCAAUCUACACAAAAUUUGCCAGAAAAUUUAAGAGAAAAGAGUAUUUCCAACUUAUUCUAUGAAGCCAGCACUACUGUAAUAUCAAAAUCAUACAAAUAUAUUACAAGAAAAGAAAGCUACAAACUAAUAUCCCUCAUGAAAUAGAUGCAAACAUUCUAAACAAAGUUUUAAAAAUCAAGUCCAGCAACACAUAAAAAAAUAAUACAUAUGAUCCAGUAUAGUUUAUUUUAGGAAUACAAGUUCGGUUUAACAUUAGAAAACAAUGUAAUUCAUAAUAUUAUUGCGAAAAUAUUAUAUUUACAAUAUAAAAGCACAUUGUCUCAAUGGAUGCAGGAAAAGCAUUAGUCCAAAUCCAACAUAUAUUGCUGAUAAAAACUCUCAAUAAACUAGGAAUAAAAGGAAACGUCCUCAACCUGGUGAAGGGCAUCUGUGAAAAACCCGCAACUAACAUCAUACUUAAUAGUGAAAGACCAAAAUCUUUCCCUCUAAGAUCAGGAAUAAGGCAGGGAUGUGCUCUCUAACCACUUCUAACCAAUAUUGCAUGGAAGGUUCUUGCCAGUCUAGUAAGAUUUUAAGAAGAAAGAAAAAAGAAGGAGGAGGGAAAGAGAAGGGAAGUAAGGGAGGGAGGGAGAGAGGAAGUGUCUUUGAAUCAGAAAGGAGCAAAUGAAUCUGCUUUAUUUACAAACAAUUCGACCAUCUACAGAGAAAAUCUUAUGGAGUCUAUGAAAAAAGCUACUAGAAGUCACCAACGAGUUUAACAAGUUUGCGGUAUAGAAGAUCCAUAUACAAAAAGCCAUUGUGUGUCUGUAUAAUAGCAACAUGACACAACCGGAAUAAAAACAUUUACAGAAACACGACAAAAAUAGGAAAUACACACAUAGACAAGUCUGAUAAAAACCUGUGUGAAACUGAAAUUUGCUGAGAGAAAUUAAAGAAUACCAAAAUAAAUUGAGAAAUAGACCAUAUUCAUGGGUCAAAAGAUGCCAAUUCCCCCAAAAUGGAUCUACAGAUUCAAAACAAUCUCAAUCUCAAUACCAGUAGUUAUAACCCAGCCAUUUCACUCCUCAAUAUGUACCCAAGAGAAAUGAAAGCCUAUAUCCAUACAAAGGCUUAUACACAGAUGUUCAUAGCAGCCUUAUUGUAAUAGCCCCAAACUAGAAACAACUCUGAUGUCCGUUAACUGGGGAGUAGAUAAAAACAAACCAGUGCAUCCACUUAGUGAAACAGUACUCCGCAAUAAAAAGGAACAAACUAGUCAUACAAGUGACAAUGUAGAUGAACCUCAGAAUACUUAUACUGAGCAAAAGAAUCCAGGCAAAGCAAGAGUGCAUACUUUAUGACCCUAUUUAUAUAAAAUUCUGGAAAAUGCAAACAACCUAUCAUGAGAAUUAGCAGAGAAGCGUUUCCCUGGGGAUGGGGGUGGGGAGGAACAUGGGAAACUUUGGGGGUUGUGGACAUAUUUAUUGUCUUGAUCAUAGUGAUAUUUUCAUGGGUGUAUAAAGAUGUCAAAACUUACCAAAUUGUACACUUUAAACACAUGCAGUUUAUUGUAUGUCAAUUCUGCCUCAACAAACAAUUGAAAGGGAACAAAAAUAUCUUUCUUUUAGGUAUGAAGAUAAGAGGAAAGAAGACUGUAUGGUCUUAAUGUUAGGAUUUUGUUUUUAAACCAAGAAUUUAGUUGGUUGUCGGGGUAUUCUCUUAGCUUUUUAGCCCUCUAAGUUUUUCAGCAGCAUCUCUUUCUAGGCCCAAUUGGUUGAGAUAGAAGCAACAUUCUUCACCCAAUGAGAGGCAGGGGCCCCCUUUUUCACCCAUUGUAAGAUCUAAUCACCAUCUAUUUUGGAGGACUACUCCAGCCAAAGAGUCUAGUUGGUCUUGGACUGUCUUUUUUUGUUGUUUGUUUGUUUGCUUGUUUGUUUGAGACCGAGUCUUGCUGUGUCGCCCAGGCUGGAGUGCAGUGGCAUGAUCUCGGCUCACUGCAACCUCCGCCUCCUGGGUUCGAGCAACUCUCCUGCCUCAGCCUCCAGAGUAGCUGGGAUUACAGGCAUGUGCCCAGCUAAUUUUUGUAUUUUUAGUAGAGACAGGAUUUCACCAUGUUGGCCAGGCUGGUCUCGAACUCCUGACCUCAAAUGAUCUGCCAGCCUCGGCCUCCCAAAGUGCUGAGAUUACAGGCGUGAGCCACCAUGUCCACCCUGGUCUUGGACUUUUAUCAGGCUUUGGGCUAUAUCUUUUAAUGAACCUUGCAGUUCUGUUGACAGAGCUUUAAAGUAUGUUAAGGAGGUGGUCAAUCCGCCUGCUCCCAACCCAAGCCCGGAGGUUAUACCUAAGGCGGCCAUUAAAGGAAUAACUUGGAUGGCCCUUCUUUUUCUAACAUAUUGGACGGAUGGAAUGGGUAAAGAUAGAUUAGGAGGAGCUAGUCCAAUGGAGGGAGAAAGAUAAACUAGGGUACAGGAUUCUAUUCGGACCAGGAGAGGCUUGCAUUUGCUAAUAUGGAGUCCAGACAGGAACCCAUUGCUUCUCUAGAAAUUAGAUGCAAGCCUCUUUCUCCAGGCUCACUGGGUGUGCUGAUUCUACUUUUCCAUCUUCAAGCAGCAGAGAUGGGGGUAGGAGAGCGAGCGACCAUGGAAGGAAAGUUCCUGACCUCUUGUAAAGCCUGGGCCCGCCACGCCUGUUCUGUGCCAGGCCAGCCCCUUUUGUUCAAGCCUGUUGAGUUGGACUUCCAUCAGGCAACAGCUCAGAGAGAAGCUGCCGGCCCUGUAGCCACGGGACAGGGGGGUGCAAAGCCAUAAGAGCCUUGUGCCAGGCAGCUUUCCCAAAGCAAUACACAUUGUCCCUGGGUUCAGGGUAGAGCAACUCACUGGGAGGAGGGAGACCUGGAUUCCGGUCCAAGCUCGGAGACUCAGAGCUAUGUGACUUUGAGCAAGUCACUCCCCUUCCCAUGCCUCAGUUUCCUCCACUGGGCAGGAUGGGGACAGGGGAGAGGCGAGCCCCUUGGGUCCAGUAUGACACAGCAGUUUUAUCAACCUGUGAGCAGCCUCUCCGGGUGGAUGAAGCAGAGCCACCCCCAUGGGAAUGGGCACAGCUUUGCCCGGGUUCCUGAAUUCAGGAGACCUGGGACCAGUCUGUGCUGCCAGCCCUGGUAGCCAGUGGCCAAGCCUGCUGGGCACUGGGCCUGCCGCUUCUCAGCACGUGCCUUCCCAGAAGUCAGCAUGGGAGGCACACAUGGGAGCUGCUGUCCCCAAGGAAGGCACAGAGCAUACCAGCAGGGCCUCUGGCCUUGGGAAACAGGCCCCGGAAGCUGGAAGUAGGUGACCAACAGUUCUGAUUCUCCCAUGCAGAGGAGAAGCUUCCCAAGAUGGGGACCUUGCAGUGACAAAACCAAGCAGGAAAAUCCCAGGUGAGCUGGAACAGCUGUUCACCCUAACAGAGCUGCCACAUUCCACGACACUUCCUCCUCCUCCUCCUCCCUCACCACCAUCACCUGUUUUUCCACCAUCAAGACGAGCAGGGCCUGUACUGAGCAGUGAGGAAGCUAUGGUUCCUAAAAGUGGGGCCCUCUUACCGACUUCUCUCUCCUACCUCAAAAAUAAUUUCUUGGGGGCCGGGAGUGGUGGCUCACACCUGUAAUCCCAGCACUUUGGGAGGCCAAGGUGGGUGGAUCACGAGGUCAAGAGAUGGAGACCAUCCUGGCCAACACGGUGAAACCCUGUCUCUACUAAAAAUACAAAAAUUAGACGGGCGUGUUGGCACACGCCUAUAAUCAUAGCUCUUCGGGAGGCUGAGGCAGGAGAAUUGCUUGAAACCGGGAGGCAGAGGUUGUAGUGAGCCGAGAUUGCACCACCGCACUCCAGCCUGGCCGACAGAGCGAGACUCCAUCUUAAAAAAAAAAAAAUCAUUUUUCUUUCUGAUAAAACCCAGUGUGGUCGAAGAUUUGGGGUUCACCGGCAUCCUCUCUCACCAGCUUUCCAAUCCUCAGCAAACUUGAGUAGAAUGUGUCAAAUCCCUCUAAAAUCUAAAUAUGCUCUGACACAGCAAUUCCCCGUCUAGGAAUGUACCCCACAGAAACAAUGGGCUAGGUGUGAAAUCUGAACACACAAGUGUGCCCACUGCAGGGAUGUUCAAGGUCACAAAAAAUUGGCAACAACCUACAUGUGCAUCAUUGGGGAUUGAACAAAUAAGUUCUUGUAAUAGGUGACCAAGAAGUUUCAUUUUAACAAGUCAGGGAGCUGUGCUCGUUGCCCAGAAAGAUUACAGAAUAUGCCAAUGCUUGAAUAAAGCAAGUUCCAGAACAGCCCGUAGCCAUUCCGCUGACAAGAAGUGGCAUGUGUCUACCUGGGGAGAAGUGGAGAGUGUCUGCGAGGGUUCCCGGGGUCAUCUCUGGGGGCAGGGGUGACUAUCAGCUGAUUUUUAAAGAAUUUUUUCCUUGCAUUUUCCUGUGUCAUUUCAAUUGUUUCAAAUGAGACUUUAUGUAAUCCAUGAGUGCAGUCACUGUGUUCCACUGUUUGUUUAUUUAUUUAUUUAUUGAGACAGAGUCACACUGUGUCAUUCAGGCUGGAGUGCAGUGGCACGAUCUCGGCUCACUGCAACCUCCACCUCCCGGGUUCAAGCGAUUCUCCUGCCUCGGCCUCCCAAGUAGCUGGGAUUACAGGCGCGAGUCACCGUAACGGGUACUUUUGUAUUUUCCGUAGAGACAGGGUUUCACCAUGUUGGCCAGGCUGGUCUCAAACUCCUGGCCUCAGGUGAUCUGCCCGCCUCGGCCUCCCAAAGUGCUGGGAUUAUAGGCGUGAACCACCAUACCCAGUCUGUUCCGCUGUGUAUAAAAAGUUUCCUAUAAAGAGGCUGCCUGGGGACAUGAGGGUUGGCAGCACAUCUCGACCUCUGUCCUCGGACAUCGGGGCCUAGAGCUGGGUCAGUCCCAGGGUCUCUGGAAAGAGACAGCCGGAAUAAGCCAGAUUUGGUCUGCCAAGACCAGAGUCUUUUGUCCCCACAUUUGGAAGUCAGCCCUGUCAUAAAUUUUGCUUUCUUGGGAAGGUUCUGGGAAUUCUGGGAGACUGAAGGGGUGAGAGGUGUAGAGAAGGAUUCUUUGGUUUGCAAAACACAGAAGCCCAACUCCAACUCCUGAGGUCAUUCUAUAACCUGUGUAACUCAGAGGCUAGGAGUGGAUGGUGCUAUCUUCAGGCACAGCUGGAUUCAGCAACUUCAACGAAGCCCCUGGGCUUCUCUUUGGCACCAUCUGUCUUUCUCCUCCUCUUUCUCCCCAUCCUCCUCUUUCAGUGCUUCUUGCCUCUGCUGCUCUUAGUGAGUUAUCCUUAGACUUCCCAUGGCAAACGGGGACUCUUCAAGGGGGAAGAAAACUGUUGGCAGGCUCAGGCAGCUUUGUAGCUCUUGAGCCAAAGCAGAAGAGGCCCUGGGAGAGAUACACUGGGCCCAGCCUGCAUCAAAGGUCCACCCCUGUGACCGGGAAGCAUGGAUCCUAGGACUGCCAGCCCCCUCCGAACCACACCGAGGGAAACAUACAUUGUGUGAGAUUCCCCAAAAGGAAGAGGAGCUGCCCACUGAACAAGGAGGGUCUCCUGCUCCCCAGAAAAAAGUCUCGGAUGCCGCGGUCCUCUGCAGCAGCAUUCUCUAGACCCUGGCCUUGUCUGCACAGCAGCCAGAGCUGGCCCAUCCUCGAGGCCCACAGUGCCUCAGAAUUACAGUUAAUCACAGGCGACAACAGGCCUCGGCCACUAUAAUCCCCACACUGCCCAGAAAGGGAAGCAAUAUCACUCCCUUUACUGAUGAGAAAAUUGAGCUUCAGAGAGUCCAGGCAAGUUGCCCCAGGUCUCCAGAUAGUAAGUAGCAGAAUUGGACCCAGAAGUAAGGUCCUCCGACUUCAAAUCUUCUCUUGCUAUGCUUCUCUUGGGUUGAGGUUGUGAGGUAUCACCACCACCUUUGUCUCCACCAUCACCACAUUGACAUCCCAUCACAACUACCACCACCUCACCAUCUCCACCUCCAGCAUCACUACCAUCAUCAAAACCAUCACCCGCACAUCCACCACCACCAUCAUGAACACCAUCCCUUCUGCCUCUACCACCAUCACCAUCACCACCACCACCGCCAUCACCAAAACCAUCA